rnacentral:rRNA from 1 species
UACAGAGGGUGCGAGCGUUAAUCGGAAUUACUGGGCGUAAAGCGUGCGUAGACGGUAAUGUAAGUCAGAUGUGAAAGCCCACGGCUUAACCGUGGAAGUGCAUGGGAAACUGCUGAGCUUGAGUACUUAAGAGGAUCGCGGAAUUCCCGGUGUAGAGGUGAAAUUCGUAGAUAUCGGGAGGAACACCAGUGGCGAAGGCGGCUCACUGGACCGGUACUGACGCUGAUGCGCGAAAGCGUGGGGAGCAAACGGG